rnacentral:misc_RNA from 1 species
UCUUCCGCUUCAUCGUUGGCACGAGAGCGACUUUCGCCUCGGCCGUGCUCAUCGGUUUCCUGUGUUGCAUACCAACGUCGAUGGAAUUCGCAAGCCAAUUCUUCCCUCGUUCGCCUAGCGCUUCCCGCUUGCGCGGUGCGGCUUUCGGGCGAACCUCGAAGCGAAACCCGUACUCCUCGUCGCUCGCGCACGGCGUCGUCGUCGAGGCGCACGGGUUCUCGUUUGACCUCCGGGAUGCGGAAAACGUCGGGGGCACGGGGUCUUGCACCUCUAUUCGCCCACAAAUUGGCCUCACACGCCACAUUCGAACGACAUUCGGCGUCGCACUGACGACCA